AUACUACUCCCUCCGUCCCAAAAUUCUUGUUUUAAAUUUGUCUAGAUACGGAUAUAUCUAAUACUAAAACGUGACUUGAUACAUUCGUAUUUAGACAAAUAUAAGAUAAGAAUUUUGAGACGGAGGGAGUACUAU
rnacentral:pre_miRNA from 1 species